CAAAAGAUAGUUUAAUCAAAACCCUGGCUCUGGAUCCCAGCGAUAGACCGCAAGUCUUCUUUUGA
rnacentral:tRNA from 1 species